AUACGUAGGUGGCGAGCGUUGUCCGGAAUUACUGGGCGUAAAGGGCGCGUAGGCGGCCUGUUAAGUCAGAUGUGAAACCCCCAGGCUCAACUUGGGGAUUGCAUAUGAAACUGAUGGGCUCGAGUGUCGGAGAGGAAAGCGGAAUUCCUAGUGUAGCGGUGAAAUGCGUAGAUAUUAGGAGGAACACCAGUGGCGAAGGCGGCUUUCUGGACGAUAACUGACGCUGAGGCGCGAAAGCGUGGGGAGC
rnacentral:rRNA from 1 species